GCGCAGCAGGCGCGAAAACUUUACAAUGUGCGAAAGCACGAUAAGGGAACUCUGAGUGCCUCCUAAGGAGGCUGUUCAGGUGUCUAAAAAGCACCUGAAGGAAGGGCUGGGUAAGACCGGUGCCAGCCGCCGCGGUAACACCGGCAGCCCAAGUGGUAGCCACGUUUAUUGGGUCUAAAGCGUCCGUAGCCGGCUGGGUAAGUUCCUUGGGAAAUUUGGCUGCUUAACAGUCAAGCUUUCAGGGAAUACUGCCUGGCUUGGGACCGGGAGAGGUCAGAGGUACUCCAGGGGUAGGGGUGAAAUCCAUUAAAUCCUUGGGGGACCACCGGUAGCGAAGGCGUCUGACCAGACCGGGUCCGACGGUGAGGGACGAAGGCUA
rnacentral:rRNA from 1 species